AGCGAACGCUGGCGGCAGGCUUAACACAUGCAAGUCGAACGCCCCGCAAGGGGAGUGGCAGACGGGUGAGUAACACGUGGGAACGUACCCUUUGGUUCUGAAUAACUUGGGGAAACUCAAGCUAAUACCGGAUAAGCCCUUAUGGGGGAAAGGUUUACUGCCGAAGGAUCGGCCCGCGUCUGAUUAGCUAGUUGGUGAGGUAACGGCUCACCAAGGCGACGAUCAGUAGCUGGUCUGAGAGGAUGAUCAGCCACACUGGGACUGAGACACGGCCCAGACUCCUACGGGAGGCAGCAGUGGGGAAUAUUGGACAAUGGGGCCAACCCUGCUCCAGCCAUGCCGCGUGAGUGAUGAAGGCCUUAGGGUUGUAAAGCUCUUUUACCCGGGACGAUAAUGACUGUACCGGGAAAAUAAGCCCCGGCUAACUUCGUGCCAGCCGCCGCAGUAA
rnacentral:rRNA from 1 species